AUGGGGGACUCCGGCGGCUCCGUGGUGUCGGUCGACGUCGAGCGCAUCUCCUUGGGCGGCAAGGAACAUCAUAUACAAACAAAUCAUGGAUCUGUAUCUGUUGCAGUGUAUGGUGAUCAUGACAAGCCUGCUCUUGUUACUUAUCCAGAUGUUGCUUUAAAUCAUAUGUCUUGUUUCCAAGGAUUACUCUUCUGCCCUGAAGCUGCUUCACUGCUGCUUCACAAUUUUUGCAUUUACCAUAUCAGCCCCCCAGGACACGAGUUGGGAGCAGCUCCAAUUUCACCAAAAAGACCUGCACCAUCUGUUGAUGACUUGGCGGAUCAGGUUGCGGAUGUUCUUGAUUUCUUUGGAUUAGGUUCUGUUAUGUGCUUAGGUGCCACUGCGGGUGCUUACAUUCUUACUCUCUUUGCAGCAAAGUAUAGGGAGCGUGUAUUAGGUCUUGUACUUGUUUCACCCCUAUGUAGAGCCCCCACUUGGACUGAGUGGUUGUAUAGUAAGGUGGAGUCAAAUUUGUUGUAUUACUAUGGGAUGUGUGGGUUGGUCAAGGAAAGCUUACUGCAGCGGUUCUUCAGCAAGGAAGUAAGGGGAUGCUCUGAGUCACCUGAAUCAGAUAUAGUGCAGGCUUGUAGAAGUUUGCUAGAUCAGCGGCAGAGCAUGAACGUGUGGCAGUUUGUACAGACAAUGAACGGGAGAUAUGAUUUGACGGAAGAGCUGAAGCAGCUUCAGUGUAGAACCCUUAUUUUUGUUGGCGAGAAUUCUCAGUUCCACGCGGAGGCUGUUCACAUGACAGCAAAGCUCGAUAGGAGAUAUUGUGCUCUAGUUGAGGUGCAAGCAUGCGGGUCACUCGUGACGGAGGAGCAACCUCAUGCAAUGCUUAUACCGAUGGAGUACUUCUUCAUGGGGUACGGCCUCUACAAGCCAAGCCAGCUCGACUGCAGCCCGCGCAGCCCCCUGAGCCCAUCUUGUAUAUCGCCGGAGCUCCUUUCGCCUGAGAGCAUGGGAGUAAAGCUAAAGCCAAUCAAGACACGAGCGCGGCUUCAAGUGUAG
rnacentral:rRNA from 1 species